rnacentral:lncRNA from 1 species
AUUACGAGCAGGAGUUCUCCCACCUUAUCGACUGCGUCCCGAAGGUUGUUCGUGAUGACCGGGACCGGGCUAAUGGGUUCUUACGAGGACUCCAGCCGAGGAUUUACGAGAAGGUGCAAAUCCUCAAGUUGACGACCUUUGCGGAGGUCUUUGAUCAAGCCCUAUGGGCGGAGCACGGCAGCGCCCACGUGCGAGAGGAGCGCGAGGCAAUGGCGGAGUCAAGGGACAAGGGGAAGAAGCGAGCGGCGGGCGGUGCCGGGGGCCGGGGGCCGGUCAAAAGCAAAGAAACCCCCUCGGUAU